GGGGGGGGGCCUAACAUGGCAGGUCGAGCGAACUGAUUAGAAGCUUGCUUCUAUGACGUUAGCGGCGGACGGGUGAGUAACACGUGGGCAACCUGCCUGUAAGACUGGGAUAACUUCGGGAAACCGAAGCUAAUACCGGAUAGGAUCUUCUCCUUCAUGGGAGAUGAUUGAAAGAUGGUUUCGGCUAUCACUUACAGAUGGGCCCGCGGUGCAUUAGCUAGUUGGUGAGGUAACGGCUCACCAAGGCAACGAUGCAUAGCCGACCUGAGAGGGUGAUCGGCCACACUGGGACUGAGACACGGCCCAGACUCCUACGGGAGGCAGCAGUAGGGAAUCUUCCGCAAUGGACGAAAGUCUGACGGAGCAACGCCGCGUGAGUGAUGAAGGCUUUCGGGUCGUAAAACUCUGUUGUUAGGGAAGAACAAGUACGAGAGUAACUGCUCGUACCUUGACGGUACCUAACCAGAAAGCCACGGCUAACUACGUGCCAGCAGCCGCGGUAAUACGUAGGUGGCAAGCGUUAUCCGGAAUUAUUGGGCGUAAAGCGCGCGCAGGCGGUUUCUUAAGUCUGAUGUGAAAGCCCACGGCUCAACCGUGGAGGGUCAUUGGAAACUGGGGAACUUGAGUGCAGAAGAGAAAAGCGGAAUUCCACGUGUAGCGGUGAAAUGCGUAGAGAUGUGGAGGAACACCAGUGGCGAAGGCGGCUUUUUGGUCUGUAACUGACGCUGAGGCGCGAAAGCGUGGGGAGCAAACAGGAUUAG
rnacentral:rRNA from 2 species